CCGUAGUGGCGGACGGUGAGUAACGCGUGGGUAACCUGCCAUAUACAGGGGGAUAACACUUAGAAAUAGGUGCUAAUACCGCAUAAGCGCACAGGGGCGCAUGCCCCGGUGUGAAAAACUCCGGUGGUAUAUGAUGGACCCGCGUCUGAUUAGCCAGUUGGCAGGGUAACGGCCUACCAAAGCGACGAUCAGUAGCCGGCCUGAGAGGGCGGACGGCCACAUUGGGACUGAGACACGGCCCAAACUCCUACGGAAGGCAGCAG
rnacentral:rRNA from 1 species